GCCAUCCGAGGUAGCCGUGGCCUCCAGCAUGGACCUGCAGCAGAAGCGGCCUCUCUGUCUCAUCACCGCCGUCUAAAGUAUCCUGGUUCUUUCACGCAACGCCAGCCCCCAUCCGCAGCCCGAGCACCGCUGGUCUCAGCAGAACGGACAAGCAUCUUUAAACGCCUCGGUGUCUCCCCUUGCUCUGGUUUCUAUGACUUUGACUUUCCAUUAUUUUGAAGGGUGUGGAAGUUAGCAAUGAGAGACUCCAAGUGAAAAAGGUCAUCAUGAGAGAAAAUGAGAAUGUAAAACCAAGUAGUACGUGGGUUUAGGACACAGCUGGUUCCUGGAAAAUGUCAAAACCUCUUAUGACUCACCCGUAUCAAGGAUGGCAUUAUGGAAUAUUAGCGGACUUCCUCUCCCGGAACCAUCUGAACUCUUGAAACGGCGGUUCUCUAGAAGUGACGUGCAACAGAUGACGUGGCUGUGACACCUUGCGGCACCUACAGAGGGGCAGAAGUGAUCAGUGAAAUGACUGCAGAGUGUGUUUUAUCGAGACCGUGAACGGCGUAUUUUAUUUGAAAACUGGUCAAGAUGUAAUUAGUUGAUGGGCAAAUGCCAAACCUUAAUUAGAACAAGAUCAGCAUUCUAAUGAAUAUUUUAAAUUAUUUCUAUGAAAUCAAAGAAUUUGAAGUUGGGUUU